GUUGCGCCCCGACCUGAACGGAGCUCUUUUUGCGCUUCGACGCGGUGGAAAGCCCAAGCCUUGGAAAGUCGAAAAGCAAAAAAGCGGGAGUGGAGGGCGGAAAAGGCG
rnacentral:misc_RNA from 1 species